rnacentral:rRNA from 1 species
UGGGGAAUUUUGGACAAUGGGCGAAAGCCUGAUCCAGCAAUGCCGCGUGUGUGAAGAAGGCCUUCGGGUUGUAAAGCACUUUUGUCCGGAAAGAAAUCCUUGGCUCUAAUACAGUCGGGGGAUGACGGUACCGGAAGAAUAAGCACCGGCUAACUACGUGCCAGCAGCCGCGGUAAUACGUAGGGUGCAAGCGUUAAUCGGAAUUACUGGGCGUAAAGCGUGCGCAGGCGGUUUGCUAAGACCGAUGUGAAAUCCCCGGGCUCAACCUGGGAACUGCAUUGGUGACUGGCAGGCUAGAGUAUGGCAGAGGGGGAUAGAAUUCCACGUGUAGCAGUGAAAUGCGUAGAGAUGUGGAGGAAUACCGAUGGCGAAGGCAGCCCCCUGGGCCAAUACUGACGCUCAUGCACGAAAGCGUGGGGAGCAAAACAGGAUUAGAUACCCUGGUAGUCCACGCCCUAAAACGAUGUCAACUAGUUGUUGGGGAUUCAUUUCCUUAGUAACGUAGCUAACGCGUGAAGUUGACCGCCUGGGGAGUACGGUCGCAAGAUUAAAACUUAAAUGAAUUGACGGGGUCAUAGCUGUUUCCU